CAGCCCUAAUUACGAUGAAUUCGGCAACACAUCAAGCCUGGCAGUUAAUUGGCAAUGCUAGUCAAUGCUGGAUAUUGGCUGAAAGCUAGAAGUCAACUGCCGCAGACAGACAUAGGUGGUAUACUGCAAUUGCAAAAGAAGAGACUUUUUGGAGCAAAAGCUUUGUAAGGAUCAUGAGACAGGAGGCAGAGACAAAUACAACACCAGGCUCUGCAAACAGCAAAGAUGACAGUAAGGACAGUUUUUGUGGAUAAACAAAUGGCACAGUUGGAACUGUGGGUGGCACAUUGACCUUUUCCACUGCACAAACCCCCAUAAAUGAAUUUCACCACCUUCUUCUUUGAGCCCAAAGAAUAACUGAAUAUAUAUAUAUGCUUAUA